CUCCCACAAGAAGAGUCAGGCCUUGGGGGCCGCGGCUGUCUGAGUGGGCAGGCUGCUGAGGUCCAGGGCACCUCCUGGGAUGAGUCCAAGCUCCUUGUGAGCAGGGAUGGGUGAGGGGAGGAGGUGGCCCAGGACAGGGGACCCAGAGGGAGGAGAUGGCCCGGGACAGGGGACCUGGGGUGGGAGGAGGUAGCCCAGGACAGGAGACCCGGGGUGGGAGGAGGUGGCCCGGGACAGGGGACCUGGGGCGGGAGGAGGUGGCCCGGGACAGGAGACCCGGGGUGGGAGGAGGUGGCCCAGGACAGGGGACCCGGGGCGGCAGGAGGUGGCUCAGAGCCUGGGUUGAGCACAGGGACCCAGGAGCCUGGAGACCCCUGAGCGCAGGCUGGGGCUGAG
rnacentral:lncRNA from 1 species